GUAUGCAAUCUACCUUUCACAGAGGGAUAGCCCAGAGAAAUUUGGAUUAAUACCUCAUAGUAUAGUACCUUGGCAUCAAGGAACUAUUAAAGAUUUAUCGGUGAAAGAUGAGCAUGCGUCCCAUUAGCUAGAUGGUAAGGUAACGGCUUACCAUGGCUACGAUGGGUAGGGGUCCUGAGAGGGAGAUCCCCCACACUGGUACUGAGACACGGACCAGACUCCUACGGGAGGCAGCAGUGAGGAAUAUUGGUCAAUGGGCGCAAGCCUGAUCCAGCCAUGCCGCGUGCAGGAAGAAGGUCCUAUGGAUUGUAAACUGCUUUUAUACAGGAAGAAACACCUCUACGUGUAGAGACUUGACGGUACUGUAUGAAUAAGGACCGGCUAACUCCGUGCCAGCAGCCGCGGUAAUACGGAGGGUCCAAGCGUUAUCCGGAAUCAUUGGGUUUAAAGGGUCCGUAGGCGGCCAAAUAAGUCAGUGGUGAAAGCCCAUCGCUCAACGAUGGAACGGCCAUUGAUACUGUUUGGCUUGAAUUAUUAGGAAGUAACUAGAAUAUGUAGUGUAGCGGUGAAAUGCUUAGAGAUUACAUGGAAUACCAAUUGCGAAGGCAGGUUAC
rnacentral:rRNA from 1 species